AGCAGCCGCGGUAAUUCCAGCUCCAAUAGCGUAUAUUAAAGUUGUUGCAGUUAAAAAGCUCGUAGUUGAAUUUCGGGACCAAUUUGUUGGUCGUGCCUCGGUACGUACUGGUAUUAUUGGUUUCUCCCUUCUGAAGAACCUCGAUGCCAUUAAUUUGGUGUCGUGGGAAAUCAGGACUGUUACUUUGAAAAAAUUAGAGUGUUUAAAGCAGGCUCGCGCUUGAAUACAUUAGCAUGGAAUAAUGAAAUAGGACGUUUGAUUCUAUUUUGUUGGUUUCUAGGAUCGACGUAAUGAUUAAUAGGGAUAGUUGGGGGCAUUAGUAUUCAAUUGUCAGAGGUGAAAUUCUUGGAUUUAUUGAAGACUAACUACUGCGAAAGCAUUUGCCAAAGAUGUUUUCAUUAAUCAAGAACGAAAGUUAGGGGAUCGAAGACGAUCAGAUACCGUCGUAGU
rnacentral:rRNA from 1 species